rnacentral:snRNA from 1 species
AUGCUUGCUUCAGCAGCACAUGAUACUAACAUUGGAAUGAUACAGAGAGAUUAGCAUAGCCCCUGUGCAAGGAUGACACACAAAUUUGUGAUGCAUUUCUUUUUUUA